CCAGACUCCUACGGGAGGCAGCAGUGGGGAAUAUUGCACAAUGGGGGAAACCCUGAUGCAGCGACGCCGCGUGAGUGAAGAAGUAAUUCGUUAUGUAAAGCUCUAUCAGCAGGGAAGAAAAUGACGGUACCUGAGUAAGAAGCCCCGGCUAACUACGUGCCAGCAGCCGCGGUAAUGCGUAGGGGGCAAGCGUUAUCCGGAUUUACUGGGUGUAAAGGGAGCGUAGACGGCAGUGCAAGUCUGGAGUGAAAGGCGGGGGCUCAACCCCCGGACUGCUUUGGAAACUGUGUAACUAGAGUACAGGAGGGGCAGGCGGAAUUCCUGGUGUAGCGGUGAAAUGCGU
rnacentral:rRNA from 1 species